AGCAGCCGCGGUAAUUCCAGCUCCAAUAGCGUAUAUUAAAGUUGUUGCAGUUAAAAAGCUCGUAGUUGAAUUUCGGAAUCAGUAUGUUGGUCGUGCUUCGGUACGUACUGUCAUUACUGGUUUCUACCUUCUGAAGAACCUUGAUGUCAUUAAUUUGGUGUCUUGGGGAAUCAGGACUGUUACUUUGAAAAAAUUAGAGUGUUUAAAGCAAGCAUACGCUUGAAUACAUUAGCAUGGAAUAAUGAAAUAGGACGUUUGAUUCUAUUUUGUUGGUUUCUAGGAUCGACGUAAUGAUUAAUAGGGAUAGUUGGGGGCAUUAGUAUUCAAUUGUCAGAGGUGAAAUUCUUGGAUUUAUUGAAGACUAACUACUGCGAAAGCAUUUGCCAAGGAUGUUUUCAUUAAUCAAGAACGAAAGUUAGGGGAUCGAAGACGAUCAGAUACCGUCGUAGUCUUAACCAUAAACUAUGCCGACUAGGGAUCGGGAUGAUGUUAAUUUUUAAUGUACUCAUUCGGCGUCCUU
rnacentral:misc_RNA from 1 species